AACGAACGCUGGCGGCGUGCCUAACACAUGCAAGUCGAACGAGAAUUUUCCUUUCGGGGAAAUAGUAAAGUGGCGCAAGGGUGAGUAACACGUGAAUAAUCUGCCUACGAAUUCGGGAUAACGCGGGGAAACUUGUGCUAAUACCGGAUAAGACUACGUCUCUUAUGUGAUGUGGCCAAAGGAGUCUCAAACUCCGUUUGUAGAUGAGUUCGCGGACCAUUAGCUUGUUGGAGGGAUAACAGCCCCCCAAGGCGACGAUGGUUAGCCGGCCUGAGAGGGUGAUCGGCCACACUGGAACUGAGACACGGUCCAGACUCCUACGGGAGGCAGCAGUGGGGAAUAUUGGUCAAUGGACGAAAGUCUGAACCAGCCAUGCCGCGUGCAGGAUG
rnacentral:rRNA from 1 species